rnacentral:lncRNA from 1 species
ACGAGUCUAGGAGAUAGGGAGUUAGGAACAAGUGCUGGCACUAGGAGAUAUGGAUUUGUGCUCUCUAGUGACAAAUUUAUUUAAAUAGUUUGAUUGAUCAUGUCCAUUUCUUUGGUAAGAUUGAGCAGUUAUGACAAUUGACUUAACUUGUGCCCUUUUUUUAUACUUAUUUUUUUAUUUCUUGGUCCUUGACAAUAUCUGUAAAGGCCUCAAGUUGUUGCUUGCAAUAUGGGGAUAUUCAUAAAUCGACCUUAAGACCAGCCUUCUUGCUACUUUAUUGGUUUAUUUGAUGGCAGUGAUUUAAAACGCGGACCGCCCAGCGCCUGGACGGUCGCCUAGCCGGCCAAAUUUGGCGGACAUCCCUGGGCGCCUGGGAACCUACCUAGGCGGCCUCCUGAACCAGCCUAGGCGGCCGCCCAGGGCUUGUGCCCCUCUAGGGGUGGAAAUGACCUUCGUUGAGGGCAUUUUUUGAUCAUUUUUUUAGUACUAAAG